CCAUAACCCGGUGAUGGGGUACCACCAUAAACCGCCGAAGCUCCAGGGCUUUGCGCUGAUGACUCCUGCGUUGCC
rnacentral:ncRNA from 1 species